rnacentral:piRNA from 1 species
UACGAAAGCUUGUUCUAUAAUCCUCGG